rnacentral:lncRNA from 1 species
UGUUGAUGGCUGGACAUUGCAUCAUCCUAGAAAACUUGGAGGCCAGUGAGGACAAAAAUAAAAAGUUAUAAGACUUUUAAAUAUGUGGAUUUUAGGGUUAUCUUUGGCGCCCCCUAGAACCUAAACCGUGGGAUGCAGCGUCAUGAUUUGAAUAACUUUUAAUGGCCAUGGGGUGUAGAUUGGCCUGAGCAAAUGUGGUACCGGUGGAACGAAAGCCUUCGGAGGAGUUAGCGAAAUUCCAAUGUGUGCGGAUCAGCAAAAAAUGCGGAAUAACCCUUUAACCGUACAUUUGACAGAUACGCGCGCAUUGACUUUUUCGUAGAUCUCUUUGAGAUACAUGUGUGUGUCAAUUUUUGUGUCAUUUUGCCAAAGCGUACAGGUGUUACACUCAACAAUGUGUAUUUUCACCUUAGGGGACAAGAAAAAAUUGACUUUUUUCUCCUGCCAUGGGGGGGCGCUCUUUUGGGGAGUAAAAAUUCCUUCACAAAUGUGUUGAUGGCUGGACAUUGCAUCAUCCUAGAAAACUUGGAGGCCAGUGAGGGCAAAAAUAAAAAGUUAUAAGACUUUGAAAUAUGUGGAUCUUAGGGUUAUCUUUGGCGCCCCCUAGAACCUAAACCGUGGGGUGCAGCGUCAUGAUUUGAAUAACUUUUAAUGGCCAUGGGGUGUAGAUUGGCCUGAGCAAAUGUGGUGCCGGUGGAACGAAAGCCUUCGGAGGAGUUAGCGAAAUUCCAAUGUGUGCGGAUCAGCAAAAAAUGCGAAAUAACCCUUUAACCGUACAUUUGACAGAUACGCCCGCACUGACUUUUUUGUAGAUCUUAUUGAGAUACAUGUGUGUGUCAAUUUUUGUGUCAUUUUGACAAAGCGUACAGGCGUGACAGUCAAUAGUGUGAAUUUUCACCUUAGGGGGCGCUAUGGAGCCAUUUUGCAUUUUCUUGUUUGGGCGACUUCGGAAUAUCAAAUUUUUCACCAGGCCCGGUCGUCCUGCCAAAUUUCAUGAGUUUUCGCCAGUGGGAAGUGGGCCAUUUUCCAGUUCAAAGGGGAGGAAAAAUAAUAAUAAUAACAAAAGAAGGAAACAUGCAGGAACAAGAGGGCUCUCGCAGCUGCUUAGCAGCUACGCUCGGGCCCUAAAGAAAAACCACUUGGGGAAUAAUAGGGCUCUCGCAGCUGCUUAGCAGCUACGCUCGGGCCCUAAAAAAUUGGCUUUUUUUUCCUGCCAUGGGGGGGCGCUCUUUUGGGGAGUAAAAAUUCCUUCACAAAUGUGUUGAUGGCUGGACAUUGCAUCAUCCUAGAAAACUUGGAGGCCAGUGAGGACAAAAAUAAAAAGUUAUAAGACUUUUAAAUAUGUGGAUUUUAGGGUUAUCUUUGGCGCCCCCUAGAACCUAAACCGUGGGAUGCAGCGUCAUGAUUUGAAUAACUUUUAAUGGCCAUGGGGUGUAGAUUGGCCUGAGCAAAUGUGGUACCGGUGGAACGAAAGCCUUCGGAGGAGUUAGCGAAAUUCCAAUGUGUGCGGAUCAGCAAAAAAUGCGGAAUAACCCUUUAACCGUACAUUUGACAGAUACGCGCGCAUUGACUUUUUCGUAGAUCUCUUUGAGAUACAUGUGUGUGUCAAUUUUUGUGUCAUUUUGCCAAAGCGUACAGGUGUUACACUCAACAAUGUGUAUUUUCACCUUAGGGGACAAGAAAAAAUUGACUUUUUUCUCCUGCCAUGGGGGGCGCUCUUUUGGGGAGUAAAAAUUCCUUCACAAAUGUGUUGAUGGCUGGACAUUGCAUCAUCCUAGAAAACUUGGAGGCCAGUGAGGGCAAAAAUAAAAAGUUAUAAGACUUUGAAAUAUGUGGAUCUUAGGGUUAUCUUUGGCGCCCCCUAGAACCUAAACCGUGGGGUGCAGCGUCAUGAUUUGAAUAACUUUUAAUGGCCAUGGGGUGUAGAUUGGCCUGAGCAAAUGUGGUGCCGGUGGAACGAAAGCCUUCGGAGGAGUUAGCGAAAUUCCAAUGUGUGCGGAUCGGCAAAAAAUGCGAAAUAACCCUUUAACCGUACAUUUGACAGAUACGCCCGCACUGACUUUUUUGUAGAUCUUAUUGAGAUACAUGUGUGUGUCAAUUUUUGUGUCAUUUUGACAAAGCGUACAGGCGUGACAGUCAAUAGUGUGAAUUUUCACCUUAGGGGGCGCUAUGGAGCCAUUUUGCAUUUUCUUGUUUGGGCGACUUCGGAAUAUCAAAUUUUUCACCAGGCCCGGUCGUCCUGCCAAAUUUCAUGAGUUUUCGCCAGUGGGAAGUGGGCCAUUUUCCAGUUCAAAGGGGAGGAAAAAUAAUAAUAAUAACAAACUAGGGCCCCGUUGGGGCACUGGCGGGCCCGAGCUGUGUCGCGCCGCCCCCAACACGACCGCCUCUCCCUCCCGAUCGCGUCACACUCAAGGUCCAAAGAUGGUGUGCACACUUGUCUGUGGUCAUUUACCAUUAUAAUGAAUGGGAGGCGCAGUUUCUACCAAAACGCUCGCUGCAGACAAACUGUCCUAUUUGAAAAAAGUCUGGACCAUGAGUGAGGGCACAAACACAGCUAGGAUAUAUCCAAAUGGCAAGUUUCUCCUCCUUUCGGUUUUGCCGAGAGAGCGAUGUGUUUGAGCCGUUGAGCGAUGGGCAGGAAAAACUAGACUUUUUCUCCUGCCAUGGGGGGGGCACUCUUUUAGGGAGUAAAAAUUCCUUCACAAAUGUGUUGAUGGCUGGACAUUGCAUCAUCCUAGAAAACUUGGAGGCCAGUGAGGACAAAAAUAAAAAGUUAUAAGACUUUGAAAUAUGUGGAUUUUAGGGUUAUCUUUGGCGCCCCCUAGAACCUAAACCGUGGGGUGCAGCGUCAUGAUUUGAAUAACUUUUAAUGGCCAUGGGGUGUAGAUUGGCCUGAGCAAAUGUGGUGGCGGUGGAACAAAAGCCUUCGGAGGAGUUAGCGAAAUUCCAAUGUGUACGGAUCGCCAAAAAAUGCGAAAUAGCCCUUUAACCGUACAUUUGACAGAUACGCCCGCAUUGACUUUUUCGUAGAUAUUAUUGAGAUACACCUGUGUGCCAAAUUUUGUGUCAUUUUGACAAAGUGUAGAGGCGUGACACUCAACAAUGUGUAUUUUCACCUUAGGGGACAAGAAAAAAUGGACUUUUUCUCCUGCCAUGGGGGGGCGCUCUUUUGGGGAGUAAAAAUUCCUUCACAAAUGUGUUGAUGGCUGGACAUUGCAUCAUCCUAGAAAACUUGGAGGCCAGUGAGGACAAAAAUAAAAAGUUAUAAGACUUUGAAAUAUGUGGAUUUUUGGGUUAUCUUUGGCGCCCCCUAGAACCUAAACCGUGGGGUGCAGCGUCAUGAUUUGAAUAACUUUUAAUGGCCAUGGGGUGUAGAUUGGCCUGAGCAAAUGUGGUGCCGGUGGAACAAAAGCCUUCGGAGGAGUUAGCGAAAUUCCAAUGUGUACGGAUCGCCAA